UACAGGUCAUGUGACUUUACAGACCCAAGUCCUUGGUUUAUUUCCGGAGGCAUGGCACUCUGGCGAGCAUACCAGAGGGCCCUGGCUGCACAUCCGUGGAAAGUCCAGGUUCUGACAGCUGGGUCACUGAUGGGCCUAGGUGACAUUAUCUCACAGCAGCUGGUGGAAAGGCGGGGUCUCCAGCAACACCAGACUGGCCGGACCUUGACCAUGGCAUCCCUUGGCUGUGGCUUUGUGGGCCCUGUGGUCGGAGGCUGGUACAGGGUUUUGGACCACUUAAUCCCCGGCACCACCAAGGUGAAUGCACUCAAGAAGAUGUUGUUAGAUCAGGGGGGCUUUGCCCCAUGUUUCCUUGGCUGCUUUCUCCCACUGGUAGGGGUACUCAAUGGAAUGUCAGCCCAGGACAAUUGGGCCAAACUGAAGCGGGUGAGUGGAUCUCUGGCUAGCAGGUGAGCUGCCCCAGGGUUAGGAGACAGGAAGGAGUGAUGUGCCAGGAGCGUCUCGGGCUCAGGAGGAAAGGAGCAUAGGGGGGAUUGGUCCGGAAGUGUCUUCUUGGAACAGAAUCUGUGUGUGAUAUCCAUGCAGGAACAUGGCAGCCGCUUGGAUAUGUAAGUGUUAACUGUUCCUCCCUGUCUUUGCAGGACUACCCCGACGCCCUCAUCACCAACUACUAUGUAAGAGUUGACCCUUCCACUAGCUGUUCAGUCCUGAAAUGCCCUGAGCUUGGGGCCCUCAACAUAGGAAUCCUCUGUUAGGGUCACUUCCUCAUUCCCCACGAGGAGUAACCCUUCAGCCUUUUCU
rnacentral:lncRNA from 1 species